rnacentral:rRNA from 1 species
UACGUAGGGUGCAAGCGUUAAUCGGAAUUACUGGGCGUAAAGCGUGCGCAGGCGGUUUCGUAAGUCUGUCGUGAAAUCCCCGGGCUUAACCUGGGAAUGGCCGUCGAAACUGGCGAACUGGAGUGUGGCAGAGGGGGGUGGAAUUCCGCGUGUAGCAGUGAAAUGCGUAGAGAUGCGGAGGAACACCGAUGGCGAAGGCAGCCCCCUGGGCUGACACUGACGCUCAGGCACGAAAGCGUGGGGAGCAAACAGG